rnacentral:RNase_P_RNA from 1 species
UGAGUAAAGUGGAUGAUCGCGUGUGUUUCACACGAGGAAAGUCCGGGCUUCAAAGGGCAGGAUGCCAGUUAACGGCUGGUAGAGGUGACUCUCAGGAAAGUGCAACAGAAAGUAUACCGCCACUUUGUGGUAAGGGUGAAAUGGCAGGGUAAGAGCCUACCGCGCUGAUGGUAACAUCAGUGGCAGUGUAAACCCCAUCCGAAGCAAGACCGAGCAGGAAUCAUAUAGUUGCCCGCUAGAUUCCGGGUAGGUUGCUUGAGCGUAUAGGUGACUAUGCGCCUAGAUAGAUGAUCAUCCUAGACAGAACCCGGCUUAUAGCUUUACUCAUAAA